CGCAGGAGGACGAGGAGCGGCAGAUCGCUGUUGCUCUCACACAAUCCGGCGUGCAAUCCGGAUUUCUCCGGUUACUUGGAUCGGGCCGAUGAACGUGAUCGAGACACGCCGACACGUGGGCAGCCGACCACGGCCCGGCCUCCUCGAACAUGCUCCGGUGAUCGCAUUCUUGUUGUUGGGUCGAAACAGCCGUUUCUCUGAAUUAGUGCGGUCACUAUUGUAACGGAUUUGCGGAUUCCGGCGGAGUCGGAAUUCCGGUAUGUGGGCCGUGGAGAGCGAAUUUGCCUUUCUUUGCCAUUCGGCGUCGACGGCCAAGGGCGGUGCCGGGGUAUAUUCGGAGCAGAGACAGAAACAGGUAAGAUUCUUACAUGUUUUGGUGUCUGCCGAUAUUAUUCCGAACAUUUUACUAACAACAACAACAAGAUUCCAUUUA